AAGAUCAUGCUUUACAGGAUCAGUUCUGUAGGUAUUGAUCUCAUUCUCCUUCCCUAACACGGGAGUUGUUGUAACCACCAUGAAGAGAGAUGGCUCUCUUCCCUGAGCGUGAGAACGAUACGAGGUCUCGAUUUUGUUCAAGAUCUCUGUCAUCGAUGAUCGUUCACUCUUUGUAUUCAGUGCGGAGAGGAUGGGAGGUAGGGCUUUCUGAGUGGU